UACGGAGGGUGCAAGCGUUGUCCGGAAUUACUGGGCGUAAAGCGCGCGUAGGCGGCUUUGUAAGUCAGAGGUGAAAGCCCAGGGCUUAACCCUGGAAUUGCCUUUAAGACUGCAUCGCUAGAAUCGUGGAGAGGUGAGUGGAAUUCCGAGUGUAGAGGUGAAAUUCGUAGAUAUUCGGAAGAACACCAGUGGCGAAGGCGACUCACUGGACACGUAUUGACGCUGAGGUGCGAAAGCGUGGGGAGCAAACAGG
rnacentral:rRNA from 1 species